ACGGAAGGCAGCAGUGGGGAAUAUUGGACAAUGGGGGCAACCCUGAUCCAGCGACGCCGCGUGAGUGAAGAAGUAUUUCGGUAUGUAAAGCUCUAUCAGCAGGGAAGAAAAUGACGGUACCUGACUAAGAAGCCCCGGCUAACUACGUGCCAGCAGCCGCGGUAAUACGUAGGGGGCAAGCGUUAUCCGGAUUUACUGGGUGUAAAGGGAGCGUAGACGGCGAUGCAAGUCUGAAGUGAAAGCCCGCGGCUUAACUGCGGAACUGCUUUGGAAACUGUAUUGCUAGAGUGUCGGAGAGGUGAGUGGAAUUCCCAGUGUAGCGGUGGAAUGCGUAGAUAUUAGGAGGAACACCAGUGGCGAAGGCGGCUUUCUGGACGAUAACUGACGCUGAGGCUCGAAAGCGUGGGGAGCAAACAGGAUUAGAUACCCUGGUA
rnacentral:rRNA from 1 species